UGCAGUAUAGCCAAGCGGUUAAGGCGUAGGAGUUGUAAUCCUUUAACUCUGGUUCGAUUCCAGAUUCUGCGA
rnacentral:tRNA from 1 species